AAAAAUGUUUACAUGCCGUUCUUGCACAUCUUCCAGGAUUACUGCUAAUUGUUUUGUUAGGACAGGUUUACUGGUGGAGCUAUUUUGUGUUUUUGUGUAUUGUCCUACACUGUCCUGUGUUGUCCUGCACUGUCUUGUGUUGUCUGUUUGCACCAGUUGCACACAUGCACUUUAUGUGGAGAGGAUCUGUCUACUAGUUCUUGGCACUGUGUUUUUUGUUCUCUUUCUGUGACUGUUAUUUUAUGUAGCACCAGGGUUCUGGAGGAACGUUGUUUCAUUUCACUAUGUACUGCAUCAGCUAUAUAUGGUUGAAAUGACAAUAACUAUAGCUGUUCUGCCGUGUGAACUGGAGAGUGUAGGAACUGACUAUCAAGACUGUAUAUUAAGUGGGAAAAUGAAGAUGAGAUUGUGUUUGAGCGAGAGGUUACAGAGGCGUAUCAGGGUUAUGGAUAUGAGGGCCGUGUGGAUGUUCCUGAGGAAGAGCUUCGUAAGAGGAACUGUUCUUUGGUGUUACGCAAUCUGACACUUAAUGAUUCACGAGCAUCCAGACAGUGAGACGCACCAAGAGAUCUGACAAAAAAAAAAGUACAGGAGAUCAGUCCUGUUUCUCUCUCAGUCAGGGGUAAGUGAGUUAUUAUCAGUAGAACACACACUGAACAUUACACACAGCAGAAACCAAAGCUGCAGAUCUGAAAUCUGUGGAAAGACACUAAACGUCCUGUAGAACAAAAGCAGCUCAUGUGUCCAAUGUGAGCAUAAUGUCAGUGUUUUCAGUACUAGAGGAGAAAUUGUGCACUGAACAGCUCAUUUUAAAGCUCUUCAUGUGUGUUAGAUGAUCCAGGAGAACACAGAACACCUGAGCAUCUUUAUAUUAGUGUUUCAUCACACACUUGGAGAUUCCCUCUGCCAUCUUUAAAUGGAAAUCAUUUUCAUGACACGAGUUUGCAGUAGAGCUGGAAAUCAGAAAGUCUUUACCCCAGACAGCAGGAACAGUGUAGCACUAAUGAUCUUCUUGCUGAUUUCUACACUUUAUUACCUUUAAAAUACAAUUUCACUGCUUUUCACUGCUUAUGAAAAUAUGAUCUUCUCUAUUAUACAGUAAUCACACUAGUUAUAGUAUCAGUAAUGUGAAAGAUUGCAGAGAUGAUUCUUAGUGAUUAGUACUGAUCCUGAUCUACACGUGAUCCUGAUCUACACGUGAUCCUGAUCUACACUUACACAGUAAAUCACUUUAGUAGCAGUGAGAGAGGAAACACAAAGAGCUCUGAUUGGACCAGGAUGAUUCAAUAUUAUUUUCCUCUUACAGAAAAACCUCCUGAUCUGAGAUUAUAUGAAGUGCCGAGUCCCACAGAUGAGAUACAAUUGUGUUUUUCAUUAUCUGCACAUUUCAUUUUUUAUACAACCAGCUGGGGGGGCGCCAGUGAGCACCAUCUGCCCUGCUGCCCUCGCCCUCACCCAUUUGAAUUAUUUACCUGUUUUUCUGCUUUAGUUUAAUAUACAGUAAAUGUUUACAUCCUCGAAUUCAGACAAUUUUGCAAUGAUUAUUAAAUGUGUUUGGAGCAUUGUGGUAGGAGGGUGGAGUCAUGGGCGGGUGAAAGUAGGAAUCUCACCUAGGGUGCCAACAGGACUAGAAACAGCUCUGCUUCCAGGACUCCUUGUUGUUCUCUAUGCUAAAGAUAGUUUCUAAUAAUGUUUGUUGUAUUUUUGGGAUCAUUGUUCUGCUGCAGAAUAAAUUGGGGCCAAUCAGACGCCUCCAUGAUGGUACUGCAUGAUGGAGAAAUAUCUGCCUGUAUAUCUCAGCACUGAGGGCACCAUUUUUCCUCACCACAUCUCAGACUCCAUUUACAGAAAUGCAGCUCCAAACUUGCUUCACACUCAUUAUUGUACUGCUCUUUAGCAAACAAUGUUUUUCUGCUACAGCUAAAUAUUUCAGACUUUCUGACCAGAGUUCAGAGCCCCUGCGGCCAUUUUCGACAUUACCAUGUUUCCUCUGUGCCAUGAAACUGUCUUCCACAAGUUCAUGUUAUUAGCAGAAUUUAGCAGUUUAUUUAUUUAGUUUAAAGCCCCUAGUCAGCAGUUUCGGUUUCAGUUGGUGACUGUAUUAUAGCCUACAUAUGAAAUUGAUAAUCAUUAGCACCUGGUUGGUAGAACUGGUUAAUUACACACCUGAUUCUGAUCCUACAAAAUCCCUGACUUUGAGUAUGUGAACAAAAAAAAGAAAAGCAGACCCACCAAAUAGUAAUUUGAUUUCUCUUCUGUUGAUUUACUUUCUAUUGUGUUCAUUAUUAAAAAUGAAUUAUUACUACUUUCAUUUUUAUUAAAUAUGACCCUAACCCUAACCCUGACAUGUUUUAUUACUCACACAUGAAAGUGUCACGUAUCGCUACCUUUAUAAGUGUGUGUUUAACAACAACAUAAGACUUGUACAUUUUCAUAUGUAAUACCACAGAACAGGAUUCUGGAUCACAGAACACAGAAGUGUAUCACUGUGUGUUUACGUUUCAGAUAAUGAACUUCAUGACGUUUACUCAUCUGAACACGUGUAUCCCUUCUGGCUUAUACUCCUACUGUGUGUGUGUUCAGUCUCUGUUCUUAUAAACAUCGUGUGCAUGUGUGUGUGCUGUUGCAGGAAACAAGAUAACUGUAAUAUCAUCAGUGACUGGAAUGAGAAGAAAGUCCUGCUGCAAGACACUGCUGAUUGGACCUGUGUGACCUACAUGAGCAGCUCCUGAUGGCCCAGAAGAUAUUUAACCUCACAAAGAAUCAUUUUUAUGUAGAAUUUUCAGAAUUAAUUGUGGUCAGUUUUCAUAUAAAGAUGUUUGUAUAUUGGAUUUUUAUUUGAAGCUGUUUGAUGUCCUGGUCUGAGUCUGUGGUUCAGACCAUCACCAGUAGGAUAUGUCUAUGUUCAGUUGGAACCCAGAGGGAUUAAUCCUCUUAUAUAAGUAUAUAAGUACCAGAGUUUACUUUUACUGAUAAUGUUUUCACAUCAACCUCAUACUGUUCUCUGCUUACGUUUCUUCAGUUCCAUCUCAUCUCCAGAAAAUAAACAGAGAAAAUGAA